GACGACGCUGGCGGCGUGCCUAAUACAUGCAAGUCGAGCGGAAUGAUGAAGAAGCUUGCUUCUUCUGAUUUUAGCGGCGGACGGGUGAGUAACACGUGGGCAACCUACCUUGUAGAUUGGGAUAACCCCGGGAAACCGGGGCUAAUACCGAAUAAUCCAUUUUGCUUCAUGGCGAGAUGUUGAAAGACGGUUUCGGCUGUCACUACAAGAUGGGCCCGCGGCGCAUUAGCUAGUUGGUAGGGUAAUGGCCUACCAAGGCGACGAUGCGUAGCCGACCUGAGAGGGUGAUCGGCCACACUGGGACUGAGACACGGCCCAGACUCCUACGGGAGGCAGCAGUAGGGAAUCUUCCACAAUGGACGAAAGUCUGAUGGAGCAACGCCGCGUGAGUGAAGAAGGUUUUCGGAUCGUAAAACUCUGUUGUAAGGGAAGAACACGUACGAGAGUAACUGCUCGUACCUUGACGGUACCUUAUUAGAAAGCCACGGCUAACUACGUG
rnacentral:rRNA from 1 species